rnacentral:lncRNA from 1 species
GUUGGUUAAUGAAUUUUUAAUCAUCACAAUAGGAAAUUAAUUUUCCUUUGAAGAUUAAAACCAUGUAAAUAAGGAUUUUAAUGACCUUGAGAUCAUUGGAUUAUAAAAUCCUCACAUAUAGAAAGGGGAGAUGAUAACCUUUUGAAGGAGCUUUUAAUGGCCUAGCCAAUUGCUUCUUCCCAGAUCUUCUCCCUUAUUCUCCACUAGGUGUAUUUUCUUUUCAAGAAAGUGAAAAGUAGCAAACCGUAAUUCUUAUAUAAAAUAUGCCAAUAAAGUGCAUAAUUAUAAUGCCCUAUUAGGAUUUGAAAAUUGCACAAAUUUCCUUGAACUUUAUUGUAGUAGACCAAUUAAGUCACACAUCUUUUAUUGGAGUCAAGAGAGGGACCUAACCAGACUCACAUGACUCAAGCUCCAAUAGAUAUUUUCAAUUUGGUCAACUCUUGACCAAUUGAGAUACAUUUAUUAAUCCCAGCUUAUUCUACCGAAAAAUCGAGAUUGCACUUUCGAGUCGAGUGAUAGUUAUAGAAGUAAAUUAUGAUCCAAUAACAAUAUCCUCUGAUUAUCAUUCCACAAGUCAACCCCCAUUUGACCGCCAAUAUGUUGAAACUGACAAAAUGACCGUUUUGCCCUUCAACAAGUAUUACCCCCUAAGUCCCAUUUUCAUACGGCAAAUUCAUUGUGAUCAAAUCACAAUGUAAAGUCUAACGAUCUCAUCAUCAACCUACUGAGCUCAGAUUCAAUUUGCCUAGGAAAUACCUUAGAGUGACGAUAGUCUCAUCUCAAUGAUUAAUGGAUUCCACUAUUGUAAGUAUAUGAUCUCUAAUUGUUUCAGCCCAAUUCCCAAAGUACCGAGAUCAAUCUUCUAUUUAAAACUUCACUCAUUG